UGGAGGUAGAUAUGUAUAGUGAUGGAGGUAGAUAUGUAUAGGGGGAAGGGGCCAGGGAUACUGGAGUGAUGGAGGUAGAUAUGUAUAGGGGGAAGGGGGCAGGGAUACUGGAGUGAUGGAGGUAGAUAUGUAUAGUGAUGGAAGUAGAUAUGUAUAGGGGGAAGGAGACAGGGAUACUGGAGUGAUGGAGGUAGAUAUGUAUAGUGAUGGAGGUAGACAUGUAUAGGGGGAAGGAGACAGGGAUACUGGAGUGAUGGAGGUAGAUAUGUAUAGGGGGAAGGGGCCAGGGAUACUGGAGUGAUGGAGGUAGAUAUGGAUGUCUAUUUAAAACAGAUUGUUAUAUACAAGCAUUUCACUACACCCACAAUAACAUCUACUAAACACUUGUCUGUGACCAAUGAAAUUGUAUUUGAUUUAUUUAUAGGGGUAAGGGGACUAGGCAUCAGGAU
ensembl:lncRNA